UACAGAGGGUGCUAGCGUUGUUCGGAAUCAUUGGGCGUAAAGGGCGUGUAGGCGGUUUGCUAAGUCAUGUGUGAAAUCCCUCGGCUCAACCGGGGAACGACGCAUGAAACUGGCAAGCUAGAGUACCAAAGAGGGGGGUGGAAUUCCAGGUGUAGCGGUGAAAUGCGUAGAUAUCUGGAGGAACACCGGUGGCGAAGGCGGCAUCCUGGACCGGUAUUGACGCUGAGGCGCGAAAGCUAGGGGAGCAAACGGG
rnacentral:rRNA from 1 species